CACCCGACCGGCCCAACCCCGAGACCCAGCAACAGAAGCCCAAAACCCGAAGACCUCGGCCCAACCCCGAGACCACAGAAGCCCAAGACUCCGAGCCCAUCAACCCGAAACUCAAUCCAGCCCAGAUCCGCCAAACUCAAGCCCAUGACCCGAAUUCAGUGAUCCGACCCGCCGUUGACCCGCCGCCGGCAGCUUCUCCGGCGACUUUUCCGUCGACUUUUCCGGCGACUUCCCGGCGACUUUCCCCGGCGACCAAACUCACCGUUUCGCUGGAUUUUCGAGUGGAAAUCCUUAAUAUGUUUGCGCAGGUACUGAAGAUUAUGGAAUGGAUUAACUGCUAGCUUAAGAGAUUUAUAGCUGUGUAGUUAGGAUUUUAGUACUUUGUACUCAUAGAUGUUUGUACUAUUUGCUUGUAAUAUGUCUAGACAUUUACUUGUAAUUAAUAAGUUCCAUGCAGGCUUUAGUGUCAUAUGUGACACAUGUUUCUUUGUAAAUAGUGUAAAGAUUUUUAAUGUAUUUUCUAGAAGAUGUCAGUUAAAGCUCUGAAUAUAUCGUAA